rnacentral:rRNA from 1 species
CUGCGCCACGAGUGGCAAUCAGUAUUAUUGAGCCUAAAGCGUCCGUAGCCGGACUAGUAAACCCUUGGGUAAAUUGGGCAGCUUAACUGUCCAAAUUCCGAGGGGACUGCUAGUCUUGGGACCGGGAGAGGUCAGAGGUACUCAAGGGGUAGGGGCUAAAUCCUGUAAUCCUUUGGGGACCACCAGUGGCGAAGGCGUCUGACUAGAACGGAUCCGACGGUAAGGGACGAAACCCUGGGGCGCGAACCGGAUUAGAUACCCGAGUAGUCC